CACUCCUCUUUUCUGUUGAGACAGGCUAGUGUCUGGCCCAGAGGAUGAGGGGGAGAAAGACACUUUCCCAGAAUGGAGCAGGAGUAAUUGCAGUCAAAGAGGAAAAGGGAAAAACAACUUUCAACAUGGAAAAUUCCCACCAGGAAAAUGAAGAAAGCAUUCAUAAUGUAGAGGAAGAGCUACAUUUGGAAGAAAUUGAAGGCCAGGAAGCUAGAGGAAAUAAUCACCAGGAACAAGCACCACCUACCCAGGAAGAUGGAGACGGGAAGAAAAAAGGUAUAUUUGUGAGCCAAUCAGCAAACAGCUUCUCUCAAGCCUCCGAGAGAUUUCUGAAGACACACCAAGUAAACAUUACAGAUGCUACUAAAGCAGAAUGAGAGUGGGCACCUGCCUACUAUCCUGGCACGUAACUUUCUGAGGAGGUGGGUUUUCUCUCUCU
rnacentral:lncRNA from 1 species